rnacentral:rRNA from 1 species
GUGAGGAAUUUUCCGCAAUGGGCGAAAGCCUGACGGAGCAAUGCCGCGUGAAGGAUGAAGGCCUAUGGGUUGUAAACUUCUUUUCUCAGAAAAGAAUUAUGACGGUAUCUGAGGAAUAAGCAUCGGCUAACUCUGUGCCAGCAGCCGCGGUAAGACAGAGGAUGCAAGCGUUAUCCGGAAUGAUUGGGCGUAAAGCGUCUGUAGGUUGUUUAAAAAGUAUUCUGUCAAAGAUUAGGGCUUAACCCUAGAUAGGCAGAAUAAAAUUUUAAGCUAGAGUUUGGUAGAGGCAGAGGGAAUUCCCGGUGGAGCGGUGAAAUGCGUAGAUAUCGGGAGGAACACCAAAGGCGAAGGCACUCUGCUGGGCCAAUACUAACACUGAGAGACGAAAGCGAGGGGAGCAAAUGGGAUUAGAUACCCCGGUAGUCC